GUGCUAACUGCUCGCUCAUCAGAUACCACAAAGGGUGUUGGUCGAUCUUAACAGCAGGACGGUGGUCAUGGAAGUCGAAAUCCGCUAAGGAGUGUGUAACAACUCACCUGCCGAAUCGACUAGCCCCGAAAAUGGAUAGCGCUGAAGCGAGUGACCGAUACCGGGCCAUUGUUGCAAGAUAAUUGGCAACAAUGAGUAGGAGGGCGUGGGGGUUGUGAAGAAGCUUGGACGUGAGUCUGAGUGAAACAGCUUCCAGUGCAGAUCUUGGUGGUAGUAGCAAGUAUUCAAUAAGAGAACAUUGAAGGCCGAAGUGGGGAAGGGUUCCAUGUGAACAGCACUUGGACAUGGGUUAGCCGAUCAAAAAUACAUCAAAAAGUAAUUCUAGAGCUAAUACAUGCGUCAAGGCCCGACUUCGGAAGGGCUGCGUUUAUUAGAUACAGAACCAACCUAGGCUCCGCCUAGUCCUUGUUGGUGAUUCAUAAUAACCCGGCGAAUCGCACGGCUUGUCCGGCGAUGGACCAUUCAAGUUUCUGACCUAUCAGCUAUGGACGGUAGGGUAUUGGCC
rnacentral:ncRNA from 1 species